rnacentral:rRNA from 1 species
CUGGGCUCGAACGGCUGGUCAACGGAGGUGGAAACAUCUUUACCCCGCAAGGGGGUCCAGUCGAGGUGCUGCAUGGCUGUCGUCAGCUCGUGUCGUGAGAUGUUGGGUUAAGUCCCGCAACGAGCGCAACCCUUGUCCUGUGUUGCCAUCAUUCAGCUGGGAACUCGCAGGAGACCGCCAGCGAUAAGCUGGAGGAAGGUGGGGAUGACGUCAAGUCCUCAUGGCCUUUAUGUCCAGGGCUACACACGUGCUACAAUGGGCGGUACAAAGCGCCGCGAACCCGCGAGGGGGAGCCAAUCGCAAAAAACCGCUCUCAGUUCGGAUUGCAGGCUGCAACUCGCCUGCAUGAAGCUGGAAUCGCUAGUAAUGGCAGAUCAGCACGCUGCCGUGAAUA